UCGAGAAUAUUCGACAAUGGAGGAAACUCUGAUCGAGCGACGCCGCGUGAAGGAUGAAGGCCUUAGGGUCGUAAACUUCUUUUCUUAGCCAAAAAGUUAUUGAUUAGCUAGGGAAUAAGGGGCUGCAAACUUCGUGCCAGCAGCAGCGGUAAUACGAAGGCCCCGAGCGUUAUCCGGAUUUAUUGGGCGUAAAGAGAGCGCAGGUGGUCCUGCACGUCUCGCGUUAAAUGUUGGAGCUUAACUCUAACGCCGCGCGGGAUACGACGGGACUAGAGCGUGUGAGAGGUGACUAGAAUUCACGGUGUAGGGGUGAAAUCCGUUGAUAUCGUGGAGAAUACCAAAGGCGAAGGCAUGUCACUGGCACACUGCUGACACUCAGGCUCGAAAGCGUGGGGAGCAAAAAGG
rnacentral:rRNA from 1 species